rnacentral:lncRNA from 1 species
UCCUUUUCUUUUUCAACCGACCCUAAUUAUCAGAGUGUUGCUAUCCCCCCUUAAAGCACUGAUUGGAUAGAGUUUGAAGAAAUAAAAAAGGAAAGGGGCAAGAAAAUCGUUACCAGUUCAGGCCAAAUAUCAAUUGCGCAGGCUUCAACUGUAUUCAGGAAGCACUCAUUUGGUCCAUGCUGCAAUCAAAAAUAAAAAAUAAAAAAUAAAAAAAUAAAUAGAAAAAAUUAAUAAAAGGUAAAAUUGGGUGAAAAGGGUACCUGGCAGAUGAAGGUGUGGUUGGGUUGAAGGNUUGCAUUGCCCCAAGGAACGAAUUUGAGGUCAACGAUGGGGAUGAGGUCAGUGGAGAAGAUUUUGGAAAGGUGAUUGACGAUGAAGUUGGCGCUGUAUGGGCACAAGCUUUCAUAGUACAAUUCUAAGGAGACUUUGGGAGGUUGAGAUUUAGAUUCAGAUUGCGAGAAGAAGGCGAAGAAAGAAAGGUAGAGGAGCAGAGAAAGAAAGAAGGUGGUGGAAGGAGAAACCAUGGCUGAAACUGAAUUUGGAUUCAAUGGGAAACCAGGAUCCCAAUUUGAAUACUGUGUUUGUGAAUACAAACAAGAUGUUCAUUUAAAAGCUACAUCAUAUUCAUUUAAUCUUAUUUGUCCCAAUUCAUCAAUCAAAUUAAUAUUAGUCACGGUAUUCCGAUAAAAACGAAAAAGAAAAAACCGUUUCAAUUUUAUUUAUUAUUUUAAAUUUGAGAGAAAAGAAAAGUCAAAGGAAGAUUGAUUGAAUUAAAAAAAAAAUUGUAAGAAAAUGAAAGAAUUUAGAUGAAGGUUUAUAAAAGUUAAGAAGGAUAUAAUAUGUUUGGUAGAUUAAUAAACAAUGUUUUAAUGGAUAAACUAGAAUGAUUAUCAUUUUAUUUUUAAGGAUUAAAUAUGUUUUUGUUCCCAUAACUUUUAGUGAAAAUUGGAAUUAGUCCUUCCUCAAAAUUUAGGUCUAAUUCAGUCCCUCAACUAUAAAAAUGUAUGAAUUUAGUCAUUUCAACUAAAUUUUGUUAGGUUUAUUUUAUGUUUCAAACACAUUUCAUGAUAGUAUUUGGGUUGUUUAUACUAUUUGACACAUUUUUGUUUCAAUCUUAACUGAGAAACACAUUUGAAACAUCAAAUAAAGUUAAUAAAUUUUUAUUAAAAUGACUAAAUUCAUACAUUUCUGUUUGGGGACUAAAUUAGGCCAAAGUUUUGAAGAGGAACUAAUUUUAAUUUUCACUGAAAAUUCAGGAAUCAAAAACAUAUUUAACCCUAUUUUUAACUGUAAAAGUUAUUUAAAAUAAAUUGUGUGUUUAUAUUACUAUUAUUAUAAAAAAAUUAAUAAACAGUUACCCAUAUUAAAAAAAAAAUUAACAAACAUGUGAAAGAGAAAAAAAAUGGAGUAUUGAUUCCCAUCACACUAUAAUCAAUUCUCAAUGCAAUUACUCUCUUAAGAAAAACAAAAAGCUAACAUCCAUUUUUGUUUCUACUUUUAGAAAAUUUAAUUAGAUUUCUAGUUUUUAUCUCAUUCAAUUAAAUUUUUUAGUUUUUAAAAAUCAUUUAAUGAUAUUUUUUUCUUUAAAUUAAUGUUAACGUCGUAUUUAUAUAUAGGUCCAUUAGUGAUAUUUUUGAUUUUUGAUUUUUAUUUUACUAUAAAAAAAUUGUUAUAUAUCAGAUCAAUAUUGUGUCAUAUAAUUGUGUCACGUUAAUAUUGUGUCACAUGAUAAUAUUAAUGUUACAUGACAAAUUCAUAUGCUACAUGUCCAUACAAGUGUCAUGUAUCAUUCUUUAUGUUAGAUGAUAAUGCUUUGUAUUCAAUUUAGUUUAUAUAUUUGAAAUUUUGACUCAAUAUAGUAUAAUAUUUUUAAGAAAAUAUUAAAUAAUGUUAUUCAUCCUAGAAACCAAAUUAGUAAUCUAAAUUAGUAAAGUUGAGUUUAAAAUAGAUUUUAAGUGAAAUUGGAAUCCUCUUAUAAAUUAAUCAAAAUAUAAUUAAUUAAGAACAUCUUUGACACAAAAGUAAUCUAUUUUGAAAUACAUAACUAUAUAUCAAUUUGAAAUUGUUUUAAUCGAUUAACAUAUUUAUAUAAUCAAUUAAAAUAUAACCAAAUUGAGAAUUCCAAAAAUAUAAAUUAUAUUAAUCGAUUAAGUUAUUUUCAUAAUCAAUUAAUAACAUCAGUAUUACAUUUUCUCUUUAAAAACAAACUUUCUUUUCAUUCUAAAGAUACAAAUUUUCAUAUCUAAGAAUCGAUUGCGUAAAAAAGAAGAAUUCUAGAAUUAUUGAAGAAAGUAACAACUGGAUUAUUGUAAAAUUCAUAAGAGGCUAUCAAGAUGAAUUUGAUUUUAGAAACUCUUGCUUGAGAUAUGAUUGAUGUGGUGUAUUCGUUCAUUUUACUUUUUACAUUUCUUUCAUUUUUUGAAUUUUAUUAAUUGUGUAGUUGAUAAGCUUAAUGUAAUUGAUUGAAACAUUAGCGUAUUGGUUCUUGAUAUCCUAUAAUAUAGAAUUAUUAAGUUGUACUUAUAAAUCUCUGAAAUCUUUGAUUAUUGUAGAAAUCUUCCAAACUUAUCUUACUUUGAAGAAAACUAUACUUAGAUUUAAGUUGAAUUAAACUAAUAUAAAAAUUAUAUGCUUUUUUUCCUCUUCUUUCAUUAAUCUCGUAUUUUCUUGAUGGAUUUCACCCUUCUUGGAUGAAAAAUAUUUUCUAUUACUGUUUCUAACAUUAAAUAUUAUAAUUAUUUUUAUUUUUAUUUUAUAUUUAAAAAAAAUAUUUUAAACAUAAUUUUUUUUAAAAUAUUAGAAAUGUAAAUAUAAAAUGAUACUUAUAAUUUUUAAAUUUUAAUAUUUAAAACAGUUUAAAUAAAUGUAUUUUUCUAUGUUAGCUUAUUUAUAAAUUUUGUGUGAUAAAUAUAUUUACAUCUUUUAAUUUAAUGUAUAAAAUAGGAAUUAGACGACGAAAAAUGAUUUUAGAAAAAAAAAACUACAUUGUGCUAAUUAAUGAGAGAUGGGAAUCAAUUUCUAUGAAAGAAGUUAGAAUAGAGGGAAUCGAUUCCUUUGAUGCAUGGAUGUGAGGAAAACGGAUUCUCAUGUAGUUUGUAUAAACAAUAUAAAUACAAGAAAACCUACUUAUGAAUAUGUAUUCACAUUGCUUUACAUCAAUUUGUUUAAAAAAUAUACAACGAAACAACUAAAUACUAUAUUAUAUAACACUUCAUAAUAAAUGUUGUUGAAUCUCAAAUAAUAAAUUGUGAAGAUAAUUUUAGAAGAUGAUCUACAUAUAUUUUUACCGAGUCUUUUUCGAUAUCUAAAUUUUAACAUGGUUUAUAGUUAGCUAAUUUUUUUAUUAAAAAUAAAUAUUGAGAAGAAAAACUCCUUCAUGAAUUAAAAUCAAAAAUUUUAAAACUAAACUUUAAAUCAUAUAAUAACGUAAAGAAGAAUAUAAGCAUACAUGCAAUGUAACCGUAUUAAACUAAAUAAUUAUGAACUAAGUCUAAUAAUACAAAAAGAUGAACACUUUUUAACAAUAUUUUUACAACAGAAUACGUGUCACUAUUUCAUUCGUCUAUUUGAAUUUAUCUUAAAAAAAAUAUUUGAAACGGACCAAUCACAAACUAUCACAUAUAUCAAAAAAGAAUUGUUAAAAAACUUUUUUUCAUAUAAAAAAAUGUAUCUAACGAGUACAUGUGUCUACUGUACUCAUUCAGUACAACUCAUUAGAAUGUCCACUAUGGUAAACUAUUCUUAAACGAUUUCAUGUUACGCUUAGAAAUCUAUAUAUAGAAUCCCGUUUAACAUUCUAUAUAGGUUAUAUAUAAUUAACCGUGUGUCUGAUCUUCUUUUCUCUCUCUUUCCUUAUAUUAUCCAGUUUUAUUAGUUAGAAAAGAGCAUUUUUUUUAUUUUCUCUCUUUCUCUUAUUUUCUUAAAGUAUUUGUGUUAGAAAAAAACUUAGGGACAACAUGGUUUUGUUUGGAAGUCUAAUUUGCAAUUUCUGAGGUGUCAGUCAACAGAACGUAACACGAACAAACUGCUUUUACAUUAAGCAUUGUCACAUCUAAAUUGUAUCACCAAGGUUCAUCUUGUGCAACCAUGAAGACAUGGUUGAACUCACUUUUCGCCAAGUUAAUAGGCUCUUCUCUUUCCUUGUCGCAAACUGAAUGUUCGUUCUUUGCUUUCAGUUCUGUAAGGUAUGAUACUUUGGUGCAACUUUUGGGUGUAUCAGUGCCUUUAUAAGCCUUACAGAUAUAGCUUAAGAAGUUUUCAUAAUCCUGCAACCACAAAAUUUUGCAAGCACGAUUCAAUUUCCUGUACAUUCAUAAUUUCAUUAAUUAUAUUAAACAGACUUACAUACAUGUAAAACACAAAUUUCACUGCCAUAAAUUAUUUGCUAAGAAGAGUAUAUAUGAAAAAGUUCAGAAACUGAGAAUAAUUAAUAGGUGUUCAUCCAAUAUAAAACUGAAAAACAGACCUCAUAGAGCGGUUCUCCAUCCACAACUACCCAUGGAACAUACUUGUGAGGAGGCUGCAAAGCAUCUGUUUCAGCUGCAUAUUGUAGCUCCAGCUGCAUAUAAAGAUGGUAACAUUAGCUACAUCUCUAUCACUGUUCAAGUUUUCUAAAUCCCAACUUUCCACAAGAUAGUUUCACUUACUAAUGUUAGUAAAGUUUCCAUGCUCCUCGAAAACAAUAUAAGAGAAGAAAAAGGUUGUUUAAAAACAUUAUUAAAGUCCUAUUUGGAUAAACCUCCCCAUAUUAAACUCACACUUAAUAACACUAUCUGAGUGACAAGAAGGUUGCCCAAGAACAAGAACUAAAUCACAGAAAAACACCAACCUGUUUUCCAUGUUCACUAUUAUAACACUGCUUAAUAGGUUCGGAAUCCAGAUGCAGCUUCUCAUAGCAAGAUUCCCACUCGUUGACCCUUCGCUGAUGCACAAAAUCCUCAACACAGUAGAUGAACUGAAAAUGCUUGCCCUGUGAUGAAGAAAAGAAAUGGAGAAGAAGCUCGAGUUACAUAAAUAAACAAUCACAACACAGAUACACAUGCAAAGCAAAUCACUGUUACAGUGAACCAACACAGCAAGAUCACUCCUUUUCUUUUUCAGCCGACCCUAAUUAUCACAGCGGUGCUACCCCAUUAAAGCUCUAAUUGGAUAGAGUUUGAAAAAAUAAAAAAGGAAAGGGGCAAGAAAAUUGUUACCAGUUCAGGCCAAAUAUCAAUUGCACAGGCUUCAACUGUAUUCAGGAAGCACUCAUUUGGUCCAUGCUGCAAUCAAAAAUAAAAAAUAAAAAAAUAAAUAGAAAAAAUUAAUAAAAGGUAAAAUUGGGUGAAAAGGGUACCUGGCAGAUGAAGGUGUGGUUGGGUUGAAGGNUUGCAUUGCCCCAAGGAACGAAUUUGAGGUCAACGAUGGGGAUGAGGUCAGUGGAGAAGAUUUUAGGAAGGUGAUUGACGAUAAAGUCGACGCUGUCUGGGCACAAACUUUCAUAGUACAAUUCUAUGGAGACUUUGGGAAGGUGAGAUUUGGAUUCAGAUUGCGAGAAGAAGGCGAAGAAAGAAACACAGAGGAGCAGAGAAAGAAAGAAGGUGGUGGAAGAAGAAACCAUGGCUGAAACUGAAUUUGGGUUCGAGGGGAAACCAGGAUCCAAAUUGAAUAAAUUGUCUGUGAAUCCAAGAAGGUGUUUAUUUAAGAUUUAAAUUAC